rnacentral:misc_RNA from 1 species
GAUGAAGAACGCAGCGAAACGCGAUAAGUAAUGUGAAUUGCAGAAUUCAGUGAAUCAUCGAAUCUUUGAACGCACAUUGCGCCCGCCAGUAUUCUGGCGGGCAUGCCUGUUCGAGCGUCAUUUCAACCAUCAAGCCCCCGGGCUUGUGUUGGGGACCUGCGGCUGCCGCAGGCCCUGAAAAGCAGUGGCGGGCUCGCUGUCACACCGAGCGUAGUAGAUUUUAUCUCGCUCUGGGCGUGCUGCGGGUUCCGGCCGUUAAACCACCCUUUUAACCCAAGGUUGACCUCGGAUCAGGUAGGAAGACCCGCUGAACUUAAGCAUAUCAAUAAGCGGAGGA